UUUCUUCCCUCUCUGAUCUGCUCACGUACUGGGAAAUGAAUCCGGGCAUCACACCCGUGUUGGGCAACUCAGUCCUGUAGGAAACACCAAAUAUGACUCUGCAGCUGCAGACCAGGCCUCUAGGCAGGCAGACUCUAGGCAUGAACCAGCAGCUUCAGUCCUGUCCUUUCAGCAAGGAGACACCAGACAGCUGUAGUCCAUCCUAAAGAAACCGUCAGGCUCGCCAGCCGGCUUGAGGCAACGCCACAGAAGUGGCAAGCUGCCACAGGAACCUCAUGAGCAGUUUGUGGGCGAGUUUCUCUCAAUGUCGAAGUUAUCACCAGUUGAGCUCAACAAUGCUAUAUGAGGUAAACCAAUACACGUGUGUCUUUGGUGAAGAAUAGCAAGGCAGAGCAAACCAAACCCAUGCUAAGUGCUCAUCUCCCACUGUCUGUGGGGUCAAAUUCAUACUCCUUCAUCAAGUGUCCUUUCUUGUGACUGCUGUAUCUAAUCAUCCGUUCACCUGUGUGGCUUCAGGAAAACGUUCCUUCACUUGUUUGCUUUAGCAAGACAUCCUUUCACCUGUGUGCCCCUGCAAAACAUCAUUUGAUAUAACUAACAUUCCCCAAACUAGAAGUUUCCACUUCACUCUGUCGUCCUACUGAAAAACAGUGUCGAAGGUAGAGGAGAAGAUGGCACGGAACCUGCACAAGGCAAAAGAAUGAACGGGAUCAGUCAGUUACGGCCAGCUAGCUCCAUCCUCGGCACUGCAAGCACAAUGCAUCUCUGUAGCUCCCACGAAGACUGGAAUGUAAGUAGGCUAGAAGUCUCUUAAACCCCCAGAGAAGCCUUGGGCAGGGAUUCGAGCCACCAGACUCCUUGAAGGUUGUGUUCGUAAACGAAGGUGACUAGUAGAUGUGUCAAGCGUGUAUUUAUCUCUCAUCUCCAGCCCUUACAGCUUGCCCUACAGUAGGUUUUCAAUACGAGUUGGGACUUGCGUUUUAUAAAUCAUGAGCAUAGAUGGUAAAUUCUUCUUCUUCCGUUGCCGAUGCUCAUGGGAAACAUGCUGUGUGUUUUGUUAAUGUUUCCUCCCCGAAGGCUGAGCGCUUGGUGAACAUCUGUCUGCUCACACCUGUUGGGCUGGUUUACACGGCAGUCUGAAAGGCAUACGUGCCAGGGUAAUUGCAUUUGGAGUUCCUUCCCUUGGAGAAAUCUGUCGGAAGGAUCCAGGACCAGAUAUUUCUCCCACUGACGAGUUCAUCAUCUUGCCUAAAGAAGAGCCAGUAUUUCUGCCUCUCAUAAGUUUAAUGCAUGCUGCAACAUGAAUGGGAUGAGCUUGAGAACCAGGAAGCAUGAAUAUUUCAUACAGCAUGAAUUGCCAGACUUAAAAAUCACCUCAUGGGACCGACUCUCCAGCUCAGGUGCAAAGACCAGGGAACAAAUACGGUCCUGAAGCCAAACCAGGCUCUUCCAGACAGGGCCGACACUCAGGCAAAGGAACAGUGGCCUGGUCUGUGUGCCGCAUGUGCAGUCCCCACAGAGAACAAAGAGGGCAUCAGAUCACUUGGAACUGGAGUUAAAGACAGCUGUGAGUCACCAUGGAGAUGCUGGGAAUUGAAACUAGGCCUUCUGUGAGAGCAGCAGCUGGCAAAGCCGUCUCUCCACCCACAAAGUUUUAAACAUAAAUACCCUACCGAUUCACAACUGCACCUGUCAUGCAAGUGUGCCCUUAGUUCACUGUUUCUACUUCCCUUUUAAAGAAAAAAUAAACAAACUUAACAAUGU
ensembl:lincRNA Mm2pr macrophage M2 polarization regulator